UAUAUGUUAGGAGAUGGAGUUCUCCAUUAAUCGCUUCAACGUUUUUAAAGGCUGAUAACUCCUACGAUUAA
rnacentral:ncRNA from 2 species